rnacentral:rRNA from 1 species
GACAUAGGGGGCAAGCGUUAUCCGGAAUAACUGGGCGUAAAGAGAGCGUAGGCGGUUUUGUAAGUUGAAGGUGAAAGCCCGGGGCUCAACCCCGGAAUUGCCUUCAAAACUGCAGAACUAGAGUGUGGGAGAGGAAGAUGGAAUUCCUAGUGUAGCAGUGAAAUGCGUAGAUAUUAGGAGGAACAUCAGCGGCGAAGGCGAUCUUCUGGAACAUAACUGACGCUGAGGCUCGAAAGCGUGGGGAGCAAAC